UUAGUGGCAUUAGUUCAUGUUUUGACAACGUUUUAAGGGUGAACUGGGAUAUAUAGGAUUGCUAGGAUGACCUUAUCCUACAGUAACUCUAAUAAUUUUGUGGCUUUCAAUAGAUCAGAGCAUCCAAGAAACAGUGUAGUAGACACAUAUAGUUCUUUCUAUUGUUACA